UUGGGUCUCCAGCUGUGUUGGACUACAACUGCCGUCAUCCAUGACUGCUGAUCCUGCUAGCGAGGGAUGAUGGGAGUUGUAGUCUAACAACUUCUGGAGACCCAA